rnacentral:rRNA from 1 species
UACGUAGGGUGCAAGCGUUAAUCGGAAUUACUGGGCGUAAAGCGUGCGCAGGCGGUUUUGUAAGUUUGUCGUGAAAGCCCCGGGCUCAACCUGGGAAUUGCGAUGAAGACUGCAAGGCUUGAAUCUGGCAGAGGGGGGUAGAAUUCCGACGUGUAGCAGUGAAAUGCGUAGAGAUGUGGAGGAACACCGAUGGCGAAGGCAGCCCCCUGGGUCAAGAUUGACGCUCGUGCACGAAAGCGUGGGGAGCAAACAGG